AUUGAACGCUGGCGGCAGGCCUAACACAUGCAAGUCGAGCGGUACCACAGGGAGCUUGCUCCUGGGUGACGAGCGGCGGACGGGUGAGUAAUGUCUGGGAAACUGCCUGAUGGAGGGGGAUAAUUACUGGAAACGGUAGCUAAUACCGCAUAACGUCGCAAGACCGAAGAGGGGGACCUUCGGGCCUCUUGCCAUCAGAUGUGCCCAGAUGGGAUUAGCUAGUAGGUGGGGUAACGGCUCACCUAGGCGACGAUCCCUAGCUGGUCUGAGAGGAUGUCCAGCCACACUGGAACUGGGAAACGGUCCAGACUCCUACGGGAGGCAGCAGUGGGGAAUAUUGCACAAUGGGCGCAAGCCUGAUGCAGCCAUGCCGCGUGUAUGAAGAAGGCCUUCGGGUUGUAAAGUACUUUCAGCGGGGAGGAAGGCGAUAAGGUUAAUAACCUUGUCGAUUGACGUUACCCGCAGAAGAAGCACCGGCUAACUCCGUGCCAGCCGCCGCCGUAA
rnacentral:rRNA from 1 species